rnacentral:rRNA from 1 species
AUUGAACGCUGGCGGCAGGCUUAACACAUGCAAGUCGAGCGGGGUGGUGGUGCUUGCACUAUCACCUAGUGGCGGACGGGUGAGUAAUGCUUAGGAAUCUGCCUUCAGUGGGGGAUAACGUAGCGAAAGUUACGCUAAUACCGCAUAUUCUCUGAGGAGGAAAGCGGGGGACCUUCGGGCCUUGUGCUGAUGGAGCGGCGGAUAUCAGAUUAGCUAGUUGGUGAGGUAAAGGCUCACCAAGGCGACGAUCUGUAGCGGGUCUGAGAGGAUGAUCCGCCACACUGGGACUGAGACACGGCCCAGACUCCUACGGGAGGCAGCAGUGGGGAAUUUUGGACAAUGGGCGCAAGCCUGAUCCAGCCAUGCCGCGUGAGUGAAGAAGGCCUUCGGGUUGUAAAGCUCUUUCGGACGGGAAGAAAUUGGUGGGGCUAAUAUCCCCAUCGGAUGACGGUACCGUAAUAAGAAGCACCGGCUAACUACGUGCCAGCCGCCGCAGUAACAC